AACCGGUUAACCUUUUACAUCCUAAAGAGUAUCUGUAUAAGCUGCUGUAAAAUGUGAGUUUGUCCAGACUUGCAGAGGUAACAAUCAACAAGGCAGGCUGCAGGGAAGCAUUAGACAUGCUUCCUUUUCCAGCCACUUGAAUUUCAAGUCCUCUGUAGACUUCGCUUCCAGCUUCUUCCUGAAGCAACCUCUAACUGGCCCCUAAUCAGCUAUUGCCAUCACAAGAUGGGCUCCUGAGUGACUUCAUACUGAAAACUGCCAUGUUGACUGUUGCAUUGUCUUACACCUGUUCACUGAGUGAUGGUUUCACGCUCGAAUCCAUGUGCAUUCUGGUGACUUUCAUGCUGAUUAGUCUUCUCUACAUAUAACCAUAUGGUCUGACAUACUUCUCGAUUCCUGCUUUUUUGCUUGCUUUUGUUAAUUUCUUCCUGUGCCACAUUUAUUUGAGUUCCCAUUGUUUGUUUUUUCUGCUCCUGCUUCUCUAGUACUACCAUGCUUUUUAAGUUAUUUUCCUGUUUUUCUUUUCCCUUCUUAAACCUUUGUAAUUUUUGUUCUGUUUCCCUCUCCCCUAUGCCUGUCCCAUUCUUCUUUCCCCAUGAAGAAUAACAUUCUUCUUUGUGUUCCUUGUCCCGAUGUGCUCACCUCCCCUCUUGCUGCAUUGACAUAUGUUAACGCCAUUCCCGCCUCAUUUCUAUUUUUUCCUCUUUACCUAUGAUUUGAUUCUGCUGACCUCAUUCCAGUUGAUUUCCUUUCUUUCAGUCCUGUUGAAAACAUACUUUGCUGCUUUUAUAAAGAGAUUGUGAGCAGUAAAGAGUCCUGUGGCACCUUAUGGACUAACAGAUGUAUUGGAGCAUGAGCUUUUGUGGUGAAUACCCACUUCGUCGAAUGCAUGACAAUCUCUUUAUAAAUUGCUGUCUACCAUCAGCUCUGUUUUCAUGGCCAAUCUUCCAUACCAGCCGCCUUUUUUUUUUUUUUUUUGCCCCUAUAUGUUACCCUCUUAAGAUGCAUUUGGCUCUUGUUUCUAGCCCCUUCCUGUGCCAGCUUCCCCCACCCUUUUUUUUUUUUCUUUUUUUCCCUUAAAUGCAGUCUGACUCUUCCCUUCUUCCCUCCCUUAGUGGAAUCCUCCAUCCCAUCCUAGCUUCACUUCCUGACUCUCCCCUCUGUUUCCCCUAUAUUAUUUGAAGUUAUUUAGGUUUCAGUUUGUUGCUCUGACGUUAAAGCUUUUCCCCUCUUUCUGACAUUCAGUAGUGUAUUGACGCUUAGCUACCCAACUCGGUCAUUCACUUGAUGUGUUCUGACCAUUGCCACUUUUCCUGGGCAUUUGUCAUUCCCCCUCAACCUUGAGACAUGCAGCUUUAUUCACCUUUUUGUCUUUUCCCUAGUAGCAAGAGAUCCUCUACAGCUGCUCCCUCUGUUGUAUUACUGUCGCUUUGAUCCUUUUCCCAUCUGAAUUCCACCUCCUCUAUUCUAGCAUUUUUAGUAAGUACAGAAUGCUGUUCUUUAAAAUAUCAAUUAUUUUAAGUCCUAUAUUCUUAGAAUUUUAUACAAUAUGAAAGAUUAUCUUCAUAUGACAUGGGCUGUAGGAGUUUUGCCUCAAUUCCAAUCACUGAUAUAAGCCAAACCAGUCACUUCUAGUGUAGAUGAGCAACGAUACUCAUUUUGACCCUGGUUUCAAGUGCAAUAAGUGCAAGCUCCACUGCUCGAAAUAGCUUUGCCUUCCUCUGCUUGAAUUGUACCAUUUCAACUACAUGGAUGACUAUAAAGGGGCAAAUCUCCAGUCUAGUCAAGGCCCUUAUUAAACUCCAGCUGUAGAGUUGCCUAUGUGGUGUCUUGCUGAUACAGUAAACAUUUACUUUCAAACUGAGCAAAUUUCUUACUUUACUGUAGGCUUUGAUGGGUAAACUAGACUUUUCCUGCAUCACAAAUCACUCAGUAGCCCAGGUUUAGCAUGCCCAAUUACAGCAGCUGGAGUACCUUUAAAUGGAUUUACACUGGGGUCACUUGAGCAUAAUGGAGGCUUCAGAGGCGUCUUGCAGGGUUGUAUGUGGCCUGCAGAAUUUCUACUGCUGUUCAUGGUUCAUCGGACAGUUUAGCUGUUGAAACAGGCCUUAUGGUUGUCAGUUCAGAAAAACACAAACUGAGUCUUUAAAUUGAUGUGACAGUGGUUUAAUUCCAGCUGAAGUUUGUCAGGGAGCAUUUAUAAAAGCCUCUAAUUACAUCUACCCCUUAAUUUUACUAGAUUAAUGAACUCUCUGCUUCCUCAAUUCCAAGUUAAAAUAAUGUUAUGCCUGAAAAGUAAGCACUCAACAAUUGGGAAAUCCCAGCAUUAAGGUUGCCAUUGUAAUCUUUCUUUGGUCCCCUUGUGUGUAGGCACUGGCUGUUUUUAAUGAAAUGAGCUUUCCCUGCCUCUCUGCUUCACAAUUUUUUGUAUACUGCUGGAUAGGUCCCUAAAACUAUGGAAAAGUCCGUGAAUAAAUAAUUUUAUAGUAGGCCUGGGAUGGCGGGUUGUAAAUAAAGCCAAAGCUCCACCCUGAGCAAUGAAUAGAACUAAUGGAAAUAUUGAACAGCCACCUGUAUAGUGACCGCUGUCCAUCCUGUGCACUGGAUGUGGCAGGGAUCCUGUGGCAAAAACAAUGUGACCAUGUAAGUGAAGUCACUAUGUCAAAAUAUGUAUGCAAAGGGAGAACAAAUAAAGAUGGUACAACCUUAAUUCUGGGAUUACUUGACUUUGCAUUCUUGACAAUACUUUAGCAUAGGUUUAUGUAAUUAUGUGGGAGG